rnacentral:RNase_P_RNA from 1 species
GAACACAGCGAGACAACAAUCGCCAGGGGCUUCGGCCCUGAUUCUCGUGAGAGAAGCCGCUGGAAAGCGGUUGUGGGCGCUGUCAUCAGAAAUACACAUGUUGGCCGGCGCUAUCGCCGCACCAAUGUGAUGGGAAAGGCAGCGGAUGUCUCGUUUGACUUUGCCUUAGGGUAAAGGUCUGUUGAGUGCAAUGGUAGGAGGCCGCUUUAUGGUGGCCAA